UACCACCUGGUGUGUUGAGGUUCCUAACCGUCGGGUCCGUCAUCCGGAGUCGGGGACCGUGCAUGGUAGGCAGUUUGACGUGGGGCGGUCUCCUCCCAAAGUGUAACGGAGGAGCUCGAAGGUCGCCUAGGUACGGUCGGACAUCGUACUGAUAGUGUAAUGGCAUAAGGCGGCUUAACUGCGAGACCGACAAGUCGAGCAGGUGCGAAAGCAGGACAUAGUGAUCCGGUGGUUCUGUAUGGAAGGGCCAUCGCUCAACGGAUAAAAGGUACUCCGGGGAUAACAGGCUGAUACCGCCCAAGAGUUCACAUCGACGGCGGUGUUUGGCACCUCGAUGUCGGCUCAUCACAUCCUGGGGCUGUAGCCGGUCCCAAGGGUAUGGCUGUUCGCCAUUUAAAGUGGUACGUGAGCUGGGUUUAAAACGUCGUGAGACAGUUUGGUCCCUAUCUGCAGUGG
rnacentral:rRNA from 1 species